CAAGGAAAUCAAUUAGAAAGCUUCAAGAACGGUCGUAACAGUCUAUAAAUAGACUGGAAAGAGAGGGAAAAAAAAAGAGAAAAUAUUUUUCAAGAAUUAUUCUUUCCAAAUUGAGAGAACAAUUUUCUUACAUCUUCGGCAACCGAUUGGAACAACAAAUUCAACGGUAAAACCACGAUUUUUAGCGACGUACCUCUCCAUUUAGCUCAUUAGAAGGUUCCAUUUUACCCAUGGGUUCAGAUCUGGUCAUUGGCUGAUUCGUUCUUCGAUUUGGGGAUGUUGCAUUUUGCAAAGGGUUUUUGCCUCUGAUUCACACUUCUCUUCGUCAUUGCUUUUGUUUGAUCUUGGAGAUUUCGGCCAAAUCUCGUUGUAGGGUAAGCUUUGCCAGCUUAAAUUCGAAUAGACAAAGAAGCAGUUACGAGUAAUCUUAGAGCUUUGGGCCAAAUCGCGUUGUAGGGUAAGCUUCGCUGGCCCAAUUUCGAACAGACAAAGGAGCAAUUACGAGUUAUCUUGGAGCUUUGGGCCAAAUCGCGUUGUAGGGUAAGCUUCGCCUGCCCAAUUUCGAAGAGACAAAUGAGCAAUUAUGAGUUACCGGUUGUAAGGGAAAGGAAGAGGACAUUGUUGUUGCUGGUGGUCUCUAGGAAGAAGAGAAAAACAAAGGGAAAGGAAGGCAAAAAAAAGGGUCUGGACUAUAGGCAUUUCAUAUCAUCAUCUUCAACUUAUCAUCUAAUUGUGUGUAUCUUCUCACCAAGAAACAAAAAUGCCAUUUAUCAAAGUUAAUUCCUUGGUUGAUCCUCUUUUCUUUUCUUUUUUCUUUUUUAUGAUUGUCACUUGGAUCUAGCAAGUUGAGACCUGCUAAAAAUUUACAAGCAAUAUCUAUAAAUAAUAUAUGUACUUCAUGUGCAAAAUAUAUUUUAAGUAUCUAGGUGGACUUGGUGCAAUUGCAUCAUUUUCGCAACAAGAAACAAAGAUGUAUGUGUCACUCAAUUUUGCUUGUUUUUCUUUCUCAUUUCAUGUAUAAUUCUUAUCACUCUAUUGUAGGAGAUCCUCUAGCUGUUCGUUGAUGCUAGAUUUAGUUGUUGACUGAGCACAAUGAACAGAAAUUAUGGUAUUAACUUUUAGCAUAGUUAUUACAUAUAUAUAUAUGCUAUUUUUUCCAACAUGUAAAAUUGUCAUGAGGCAUUUUUCACUCCUCACUUGUUUUCAUAUAAAAUCAUUGAAUCUGAAAGUAAUCUGUCGGUGGUGGUCCUGAUGGAGCACAAUAUCUUACCUUUCUGAAUCCCCGACAUACUUAUAUGUUUAAAGGUAGUUCUAGAUAUGAAUUAUUGCAUUAGCAUGCUAUAUAGCACGUCUGUAUCUAGGCCUGUCCUUUAGGGGUAAGAAUUUGUAUUUUCAAGAGAUUUAUUUAUUCCUUAUUACUUAAUAACAAAAUAUUAGGAGCAUGACAUUUUGAGUUAAAUGAACAAACUAUAACCAAGAACUGAAGCUUCCCUUCAUCUAGAACAAGUGGCAAAUUAGGAACUUGUCACCAAUUGUAGUACAAAAACUUAAUUCUAGAACUUGUCACCAAAUGUAGGCUAACUUUUAGUACAUUGGCAAUAUUUUCCUAAAAAAAGAUUUCCUUCUCUUGAAAAUAGUCUCAUGAAUUCUAGUAAAAAAACUUAAUGGGUGAGUGGUCACUUGGAAUCCAAGUGCCAGUUGUCCUUUAAUUCUAGAUUUUAUUAUUCUUUGACAAAGAUUUUAUUAUUCUAGAUUUCUUGGAUUUCUUUAAAUGUUAAGUGAUAAGAGAUGUGAGAGAUAACUAAUAUGGUAUAUGUUGACCGACACUAGUGAUGUCUAGCAGUUUCAAAACACUGUUGUUAACGCUGAUGUCUAGCAAUUAGUGGUAAGUCAAUAGAAUAAAGGGUAAACCCUAGCUAUUGAUACAAGCACCAAUUCUAUGUGCUUUCUAUGAUGCCACCAGUCAUAUUCAUAUCCAGAUUCGAGAUGGCUAGUUUGGGUUAAUUCUAAGUUUAUAUAUGCAUGAUAUUAAUUUUCAAAAAGAACCAAUUUUAGUCUAUAUCAAUACUUAAAAGUUUGAGUGAUUUAUGCAAUUUUUAUUUGCAAUUUAUCUAUCUUGGGACUAUUGAUCGAGAGUAGUGAUAGAUGUAAAGAGGUGAAACAAAGGUUGAUUAUUUCUAUAUAUUUUCUACCAUAACCAUGCUUAAUUAGCUUAUAAAUUUUCUUCUAUGUAUGCUCAAAUUGAAUUUUUUUUUUUUUGGUUUUGAUCAGCUAAAGUCAUUUUUUAUAUGAUUUACAUAAUUUGAUACAUUCCUUCAUGAUUAUAUAAACAAAUUCAUAUAGGUUGCAUCUUUGGGACUGCAGUAUAAUAUUGAAUCACCAAUCUACCAUAAUAGCAAUUGUUAGUUUUCAAUGGUAAAAACUAUCUUUGGGCAUGAACAAAGUGUCCCCUAAGCUGUUUGAUUGAGACCCUAGUCAUGAUAGACUUUAUUUAUUUAUUUAUUUUAUAUUUUAUUGGCAUCAACUAAUUCUUCUAGUGGUCCAAGUAAUUAAUUAUCAGUAUAUAUAUAUAUACUACUUGCUUCAACAAUAUUCAUAUGAUUAUACAAACUGUUUUUGCUAUAGAGAUUAGACCAACAAAAUACAGUAAUGCAGGCUAAACUUGCUUGUAAAUUAAGAUUGAAAUAUUUGGUAGGUCCCAAAUUGAAGAUUUUAUACUAAAUUGCUAGAAUUACCAAUAUGCUUAGUCCAAUGCAUCAAGGCAAGGAUGGCUCAAAAAAUUCAGAGACUGUACAUGAAAAAAAGAGAUGGGAUUAUUCUCAGCCUCCCAACCCUAGCAAAAAUGCAUCUUUCAGGCCCAGCCAAUGGUUUGAAGUUUCUAUUGUGCAAACAUUCUUCUGUUUCUUCUUUUUUGACCACCACCAUUUAUGUCUUUUUGAGAUGGCCAUAGAGAAAUUCCCUCUCUCAUCCAUGUAUAAUGCUUAUUUUGGUUGGUUUAAUUUUGACAAAUUUACAACUUGCUUUAUAUUGUCUUACUUCAACUAUUAUA